rnacentral:RNase_P_RNA from 1 species
UCUGAUGCGUGGAAGACCGCUCCGGUCUCGUACCGGGGAGGAAAGUCCGAGCACCGCUGGAUCACGGUGGUGGGUAACGCCCACCGUCUGGGCGUGGCGACUCGUCGCGGCGUCUGACCGGGAAAGUGCCACAGAAAAUACACCGCCUUGGCCCGUCAAAAGGCGAAGGUAAGGGUGAAAAGGUGCGGUAAGAGCGCACCGCGAUCGCCGUGAGGCGGUCGGCAUGGUAAACCCCACCGGGUGCAAGGCCAAGCAGCGAUGACGGCCCGAUCCAGGCCGCUUGAAUCGCGGGUAGGCUGCUUUCCCUCACGGGAAGAGCCCGUCUGCAAAGGCGGGUCAAGACAAAUGGUUUUCGCCCCAUCGCGGUGUGCCCGCCGCGACGAGGAACAGAACUCGGCUUACAGCGCAUCAGGCAGG